CCUACGGUGAGCAGCAGUCGAGAAUCAUUCACAAUGGGGGAAACCCUGAUGGUGCGACGCCGCGUGGGGGAAUGAAGGUCUUCGGAUUGUAAACCCCUGUCAUGUGGGAGCAAAUUAAAAAGAUAGUACCACAAGAGGAAGAGACGGCUAACCCUGUGCCAGCAGCCGCGGUAAUACAGAGGUCUCAAGCGUUGUUCGGAAUCACUGGGCGUAAAGCGUGCGUAGGCUGUUUCGUAAGUCGUGUGUGAAAGGCGCGGGCUCAACCCGCGGACGGCACAGGAGACUGCGAGACUAGAGUAAUGGAGGGGGAACCGGAAUUCUCGGUGUAGCAGUGAAAUGCGUAGAUAUCGAGAGGAACACUCGUGGCGAAGGCGGGUUCCUGGACAUUAACUGACGCUGAGGCACGAAGGCCAGGGGAGCGAAAGGGAUUAGAUACCCGGGUAGUC
rnacentral:rRNA from 1 species